ensembl:lncRNA
GUGGAGAAGGCAAAGGGCGAGUCGGGCGGGGUCGCGGUGGGGCGGUGGGGGUGGCUACAGAACAGAAGUGGGAAUGGAUGGAGUGCACAAGGGCUGGACUCCGACGACCCUGGCUGUCAAUCUCGGCAGUGAGUUCUCCCUGAGCCUCAGCUUCCUCCUCUGGAAAACGGGGAUGACAGCCCUACCCGGCAAAACCAACUUGAACGGCCCCAGCGCCGGGCCCAGGAGGCAUCCUGCAGGUGCUUUAACCAGCUUAGCAGGCGGGCAGCUGGGCUUGGUGCCUAGGCGGUCUGGUCUCUUGGAUGGGAGGGUCCGGGGCAUGGAGGGGAAAGCGGAGCCCCAAACCUGUAACUCACAUGGAUCCACUCAGCUACCAAGUAAUGCGACCGGUUCCUCCGCACGCCCACCUCUCCUUCUCCCGGCUCCGCCAGGGGCCGAGGGUCCUGCAAACGCAAACCUGCAGCAAAUAACGCUGAUUAUAGCAUUUACGAGCCUUUUCUGAGGCUCCUCACUCAACCUCUCGGUCUCUCCUCUAUCACGUGGGGUCAGCGCUGGGUGGGCACGUGCGGGUCCAGAGGAGCAGGGCCCCUGCCUCUCAUCAAGCCUUGAGGUCCGGAGGCCUUGAGGUUCAGUAAGGACAGAGGGACAGGGCUGGAUAAUAAAAUGGGGGGCGGGGGGACCUCUGGCUGUCACGCACAGAUACUGGGCAACCCGCCCCCGACCCCGGAGGAUGCCUUACGCAUGCGCGUGGCGCUGGGUUCCUUCAUGUCCGUCAAAUAGCAGAGGCGGUGCGUCCGGGCCCACGUGUACGUGCCCACGCGUGCGUGCGCAGCGUUUGCUGACUCCGCCCCGGGUACCCGGGAGAAACUGAGGCACCGAGCAGGGUGGUGGCUUGUUGGGAGCUUCAGAGCUGGCGUUCCACCAGUGCUACCUUUCCGAGGGGACCUGCGGACCAGCCAGGUGAACUGAUGGGCUGCGGCCCCGCCCACCCUGGGCAGCUGUCCAUGAGAAGGCCUCUUCAGAGCCAAGGGCAGCGUGGUGCCAUCCCACCUCUGCGAGUUUCAGACAGGGCAGAGUCUGCCCCCAGUGACCCGGGAGGCCCCUCUGACUUAAUGUCUCAGGUUGAACUCUGCAUCUCCCAUCAGCCUGUUGCUCUCAGCUUCUGGAAGAGGCAGCCCCAGGCUGGUGAAGCCCCCAACCUAGGAACUCCCUGCCUGGACCCUGCCUCUCCUCACCACAGACCACAUCGUCGUCCCCUAGUCCUCAGGAGUUCCUCUUCCUAAGAACCCGAAAGCCAUCUUUGGCUUCCUGUGCUCGCUGUGCAGUCAGGGGGCUCUCCCUGGCCUUGCCUAGCUCUCCAGAGCCUGGAGAACCCAUCCCACCCCAC